rnacentral:rRNA from 1 species
UACGUAGGGGGCUAGCGUUGUCCGGAUUUAUUGGGCGUAAAGAGCGUGUAGGCGGCCAGAUAGGUCCUCUGUGAAAACUCGAGGCUCAACCUCGAGACGUCGAUGGAAACCAUCUGGCUAGAGUCCGGAAGAGGAGAGUGGAAUUCCUGGUGUAGCGGUGAAAUGCGCAGAUAUCAGGAAGAACACCCGUGGCGAAGGCGGCUCUCUGGUACGUGACUGACGCUGAGACGCGAAAGCGUGGGGAGCAAACAGG